rnacentral:rRNA from 1 species
UACGAAGGGGGCUAGCGUUGUUCGGAAUUACUGGGCGUAAAGCGUGCGUAGGCGGCUUCUCAAGUCAGGGGUGAAAGCCCAGAGCUCAACUCUGGAAUUGCCUUUGAGACUGAGUGGCUUGAGUACGAGAGAGGUGAGUGGAAUUCCCAGUGUAGAGGUGAAAUUCGUAGAUAUUGGGAAGAACACCGGUGGCGAAGGCGGCUCACUGGCUCGUAACUGACGCUCAUGCGCGACAGCGUGGGGAUCAAACAGG